UACGUAGGUGGCAAGCGUUGUCCGGAAUUAUUGGGCGUAAAGCGCGCGCAGGCGGUCCUUUAAGUCUGAUGUGAAAGCCCACGGCUCAACCGUGGAGGGUCAUUGGAAACUGGGGGACUUGAGUACAGGAGAGAAGAGUGGAAUUCCACGUGUAGCGGUGAAAUGCGUAGAGAUGUGGAGGAACACCAGUGGCGAAGGCGGCCCCCUGGGCCGCGCCUGACGCUGAGACGCGAAAGCGCGGGGAGCGAACGGG
rnacentral:rRNA from 1 species